AUGGGGGAGGGGGUGGUUGAAGGGUGGAGGACCCGCUUACCUUGCUCUCGAGCAGCGGCUGUUGGACAGAAGUGGGUGCGGGACCCUGCAAGUGCCUGCGGGGUUGGGGAAAAAGAGGAUUCGGGGAUCCCGGUGCCCCGCACGAAUAAGGGGGCGCCCACCCCAUCCCGACCGCCGAGUUUGCGCCCCUCCUCAGACAAUGUGAGAGACCGACAAACUUUUGAAUGGAUUAAAAUCCAGAGGAGCCCCGCCGGAACAGCAUCCCCCUCAAGCAUUCUCUUGGCGUGCAGGAUCACUCAGACUCCGUGUCCUUACCUCACUGGGACCAAGCUCCUUCGUGUUCAGUUCACCCCAUUCUGCCAGGACAUCCCCAACUCAGCAGCUCCGGACACUCAGCCAUCAGAGCCCUAGAUGAGCCACCACAUCAGAGGCUGAGACACUAGGACUUGGAAGAAAGAGUCAGCCAGCCCACAGUCAGCCUCUCCUGAUGGGACUCCUCCACACUGGGCACUGCGGGCCAUGUGGAGAGUCGGAGGAAAAGAAUCUGGUCACAGAGAGCAUCGAUCUCAUGUGACCAAAAAAGACAUCCAUUCCAGAUUAACAUAACAGUAAUAGCCCCGACCACGGAGGUGAAACUUGCACACAGUCCAUUUCAGAGGUAAGAGAGAGUGCUCACAGCUAGGGGCCCCUCAAAGGACCCCCAGAGCAUGUCAGAUAGGAGCUGCCCUUGGAGACCCUCGUAGGGCCUGCGACUGUGGAGGGAUCAUCACAUGGGUGCCCUUUGUUUCCCAGUAUGCAGGUGGUGGGAGAAAUGCAUGCCAGCUGGGAGCUGGGAUAGGGCUUCAUCACCGAGCACCUAUUCUGCCAGGCACUGGGAACCCAGUGAGAGUGAAGGAGCCCAUGUUUCCAAGGCUGACAGUCUAGACGGGGAAAGAAACCAGAAGCAGAUCUUUACAAGGCAGUGAGGGAAGGCCCUACACCGGUGCUACCCACUCCAGGCAUCGUGAGGUACCACGCCCACACCUAAACCUCUCAGGGCAAAGAGAGGAGGGGGCAGGGAAGGCAUCCUGAAAGGGGGGCUGAUGUGAACUGAGAGUGAGUGGUACCCUUUUUCUUCCCAUACUCUCCCAACUGAGGCUUAUCUUCCACCACGAGAAGAAUCCAUUGGCUUCUUCCAAACAGUGGGGUGUCAGCACCCUCUCAGCUGCUCUGUCUCUGGGCAGAGUAUUCAAAGGUGGACUGAGGUCCCAGCCAUCUCUGGGGCGCCUCCUGGUCCCAUCUACCCCUCCCUCAUCCC
rnacentral:lncRNA from 1 species